GACGAACGCUGGCGGCGCGCCUAACACAUGCAAGUCGAACGAGCGAGCGAGAGCUUGCUUCCUUGAGCGAGUGGGGAAGGGGUGAGUAACGCGUGAGGAACCUGCCUCAAAGAGGGGGACAACAGUUGGAAACGACUGCUAAUACCGCAUAAGCUAACGACUACGCAUCGGGUUGAGGGAAAAGGAGCAAUCCGCUCUGGGAUGGCCCCGCGUCCGAUUCGCUAGUUGGUGAGGUUACGGCCCACCAAGGCGAGAAUCGGUAGCCGGACUGAGAGGUAGGACGGCGACAUUGAGAGUGGGACACGGCCCAGACUCCUACGGGAGGCAGCAAUGGGGAAUAUUGCACAAUGGGGGAAACCCUGAUGCACCGACGCCUCGUGGAGGAAGAAGGUCUGCGAAUUGUAAACUCCUGUUGUAGAGGAAGGUAAUGACGGUACUCAACAAGGAAGCAACGGCUAACUACGUG
rnacentral:rRNA from 1 species